rnacentral:rRNA from 1 species
CCUACGGGAGGCAGCAGUGAGGAAUAUUGGUCAAUGGACGAGAGUCUGAACCAGCCAAGUAGCGUGAAGGAUGACUGCCCUAUGGGUUGUAAACUUCUUUUAUAUGGGAAUAAAAUGUUCCACGUGUGGGAUUUUGUAUGUACCAUAUGAAUAAGGAUCGGCUAACUCCGUGCCAGCAGCCGCGGUAAUACGGAGGAUCCGAGCGUUAUCCGGAUUUAUUGGGUUUAAAGGGAGCGUAGGGGGAUUGUUAAGUCAGUUGUGAAAGUUUGCGGCUCAACCGUAAAAUUGCAGUUGAAACUGGCAGUCUUGAGUACAGUAGAGGUAGGCGGAAUUCGUGGUGUAGCGGUGAAAUGCUUAGAUAUCACGAAGAACUCCGAUUGCGAAGGCAGUUCACUGGACUGCAACUGACACUGAGGCUCGAAAGUGUGGGUAUCAAACAGGAUUAGAUACCCUUGUAGUC